rnacentral:rRNA from 1 species
ACGCUGGCGGCACGCCUAACACAUGCAAGUCGAACGCAGUAGCAAUACUGAGUGGCGAACGGGUGAGUAUAAUGUGGGUAUCUGCCUUUUGGUGAGGAAUAACACGGGGAAACUUGUGCUAAUACCUCAUAAGCCUUUACAGGGAAAGUUUUAACGCCAAAAGAUGAGCCCAUACUUGAUUAGCUAGUUGGUGAGGUAAUAGCUCACCAAGGCAACGAUCAAUAGCUGUUCUUAGAGGAAGACCAGCCACAUUGGGACUGAGACACGGCCCAAACUCCUACGGGAGGCAGCAGUGGGGAAUCUUGCACAAUGGGGGAAACCCUGAUGCAGCGAUGCCGCGUGAGUGAAGAAGGCCUUUGGGUUGUAAAGCUCUUUCGUCGGGGAAGAAAAUGACUGUACCCGAAUAAGAAGGUCCGGCUAACUUCGUGCCAGCAGCCGCGGUAAUACGAAGGGACCUAGCGUAGUUCGGAAUUACUGGGCUUAAAGAGCUCGUAGGUGGUUAAAAAAGUUGGUGGUGAAAUCCCAAGGCUUAACCUUGGAACUGCCACCAAAACUUUUUGACUAGAGUAUGAUAGAGGUAAGUGGAAUUUCUAGUGUAGAGGUGAAAUUCGUAGAUAUUAGAAAGAACACCAAUUGCGAAGGCAACUUUCUGGAUCAUUACUGACACUGAGGAGCGAAAGCAUGGGUAGCGAAGAGGAUUAGAUACCCUCGUAGUCCAUGCCCGUAAACGAUGUGUGCUAGACA